UUGAGCCGUGGUGCCUGGAAAACGGGCAUGCCCGGUUCUGAGGGGGCGGGGACGCAGCAAUGUGUCCCCGCUACCCGAC
rnacentral:ncRNA from 2 species